UCGAACCCGGACCUUCUUGCUGUGAGGCGACAGCGCUAACCACUACACCACCGUGCCGCCCGACAAAGGAACUAAAGCAUCAAAUUUAGAACAGUGAUUAAGCCAUCUAGUCUGAAGAGUAUCUUACAUGAUUGCACAAGAAUGUGUCCUGGCGCAUUGUGACAAAGAUGUUUGCAAGAUAUUCCAUUUGUAUUAUUCAUAACACGUGGUUAAAUGCAUGAAUCAAUUACUUCCCUAAUCCUGGUAGAAUAUAAAGGAUCUUGGUCUGAAUAAGUGCAGUAUUAACGAAGGACAGAGUCAAUACAUAUUCCAGUGGGCUAUACUUCAUCAGCAAGGAUGCAGUUCUCUCUGACACCUCGCCAGUUGGUCUUUCUCUUUUACGUAAUCACAGUUCUGUUCAGCUGCGUGCUUGGAGGUGAGUGUUCUUAAUGAAGAUGCACUUAAAGUAAAAUCGGUGUGUAUACAUUACAUUAUUACAUCUUGUAUGAUAGGGUUCAUAUAUUUAACAUCUUGAAUUUUGUUGUACUGCAGUGCGCUCCACUGACCAGAAGCUGCAAACAUGUUGUAGACGCACCAGUGUUGGUUAUGUUCAAUCAAGGUAUAUAGCAAAAUGUGCCUAUACUGAGAAAUCAGGCAGAUGUCUUGAGGCCUAUGUUUUUUUGUUCAAGAAUGGGAGGCUCCAUUGCAGCAGUGUAAACGCAAAAGGGAUCAAUGCAACACUGGCAAUGUUAGAAAAGAAUGGAAUCACAUGUUUGGACAGGCCCAAGAGCUGACAUCUACAAGCAAGAAAACAAUGAGGUUCCAGUUGUUGUGCUGCAUACAGGACUGUUCUUACAUCAAAUAAUUGUUCUGCUUACAUGGCAGUACUCUGGAAGGGCAAAAACGACAAAAAGUUUUCAUGUAUUUUUGUAUUCCUGUGUAUUAGAGUAUUUAUUUAAUUUUAUGUUGAACACAAACUGGAUAUUUAUUCAAUGUUUAUCUAAUAUUUUACCUUACAAGGAUCUU